rnacentral:rRNA from 1 species
GACGAACGCUGGCGGCGUGUUUAACACAUGCAAGUCGAACGGAAAGGCCCUGCUUUUGUGGGGUGCUCGAGUGGCGAACGGGUGAGUAACACGUGAGUAACCUGCCCUUGACUUUGGGAUAACUUCAGGAAACUGGGGCUAAUACCGGAUAGGAGCUCCCGCUGCAUGGUGGGGGUUGGAAAGUUUCGGCGGUUGGGGAUGGACUCGCGGCUUAUCAGCUUGUUGGUGGGGUAGUGGCUUACCAAGGCUUUGACGGGUAGCCGGCCUGAGAGGGUGACCGGCCACAUUGGGACUGAGAUACGGCCCAGACUCCUACGGGAGGCAGCAGUGGGGAAUAUUGCACAAUGGGCGGAAGCCUGAUGCAGCAACGCCGCGUGCGGGAUGACGGCCUUCGGGUUGUAAACCGCUUUCGCCUGUGACGAAGCGUGAGUGACGGUAAUGGGUAAAGAAGCACCGGCUAACUACGUG